rnacentral:rRNA from 1 species
UACGUAGGGUGCGAGCGUUGUCCGGAUUUAUUGGGCGUAAAGGGCUCGUAGGCGGCGUGUCGCGUCGGGAGUGAAAGCCCGUUGCUUAACGGCGGGUUGGCUUUCGGUACGGGCAUGCUGGAGUGCGGCAGGGGAGACUGGAAUUCCUGGUGUAGCGGUGGAAUGCGCAGAUAUCAGGAAGAACACCCGUGGCUAAGGCGGCUCUCUAGUACGGUACUGACGCUGAGACGCGAAAGCGUGGGGAGCGAACAGG